rnacentral:rRNA from 1 species
AUUGAACGCUGGCGGCAUGCUUUACACAUGCAAGUCGAACGGUAACAGGGAGCUUGCUCCGCUGACGAGUGGCGAACGGGUGAGUAAUGCGUCGGAACGUGCCGAGUAGUGGGGGACAACGCAUCGAAAGGUGUGCUAAUACCGCAUACGAACUGAGGUUGAAAGUGGGGGACCUUCGGGCCUCACGCUAUUCGAGCGGCCGACGUCUGAUUAGCUAGUUGGUGAGGUAAAGGCUCACCAAGGCGACGAUCAGUAGCGGGUCUGAGAGGAUGAUCCGCCACACUGGGACUGGGACACGGCCCAGACUCCUACGGGAGGCAGCAGUGGGGAAUUUUGGACAAUGGGCGCAAGCCUGAUCCAGCCAUGCCGCGUGUCUGAAGAAGGCCUUCGGGUUGUAAAGGACUUUUGUCCGGGAGCAAAUGCUGGUGGCUAACAUCCACCGGAGCUGAGAGCACCGGAAGAAUAAGCACCGGCUAACUACGUGCCAGCAGCCGCCGUAAAAC